rnacentral:misc_RNA from 1 species
GCAAACGCUACCAUGCGUAGAGAUUCAAACAUGGCACCAUUGGAUACAUCCAUUAUCGUCAGCAGAAGUCCAUUUUAUCCAACUACUUCAAGUAACACUUCCUGGCUCGAAAUUUUAGGUAUCGUAAAAUUCUGAACUACCAAGAUCUUUUACAGGUAAGGCAGACAUUCCAAACAACAAUCUUCCAAUUGCUCCAUAUUAA